rnacentral:rRNA from 1 species
GAUGAACGCUGGCGGCGUGCCUAAUACAUGCAAGUCGAGCGAACAGACGAGGAGCUUGCUCCUUCGACGUUAGCGGCGGACGGGUGAGUAACAUGUAGGUAAUCGACCUAUAAGACUGGGAUAACUUCGGGAAACCGGAGCUAAUACCGGGUAAUAUUUCGAAAGGCAUGGUUCGAUAGUGAAAGAUGGCUUUGCUGUCACUUAUCGAUGGACCUGCGCCGUAUUAGCCAGUUGGUAAGGUAACGGCUUACAAAGGCAACGAUACGUAGCCGACCUGAGAGGGUGAUCGGCCACACUGGAAGUGAGACACGGCCCAGACUCCUGCGGGAGGCAGCGGUAGGGAAUCUUCCGCGAGGGGCGAGAGCCGGACGGAGCAACGCCGCGUGAGUGAUGAAGGUCUUCGGAUCGUAAAGCUCUGUUAGUAGGGAAGAACAAAAGUGUAAGUAACUGUGCACGUAUUGACGGUACCUAAACAGAAAGCCACGGCUAACUACGUG